CGGCUGCUCCCUGGCACCUAUCACUUCCACUCACCCAGAGCCAGGCACUGGGGAAGUGCCAGGGGAGAACACGGAAACAAGCGAGAGACGUGAAGCGGGGCUGCCCUGGGGAUGGGGGCGAGGGGAAUGUUCUCCUCCAGCCAGGGAAGGCCCCCAGCUCCUCCGGCCUGCCUGCACCGGUGCUGGGAGGAGUGUCCACGGACCCAAAGGAUGGGCCGCAAGGCUACCCGUGGGGAACUGCUUCUUGGCCACUGAGCAGUGAACCAGGUCCCCAGACUCAAGUCUCCCUCCCCUGUUGCUGCCCCCAGAACGUUUCCUCUUCCUUCCCUUGGGUCCAGAGGCCCGAAUCGCUCACCCAGAUUCGUCCACUUCUUCAAGUAGGACUGGAACUUCUCUGCUUUCUGGAGAAUACCCUCAAUCUUGCUGCCCUUGUAGACACAUGCACGCCUCAAGCUGAUUCCACUCUGCUGCAGGAGCUUACCGUCCUCUAAUGCACUUCUCAUAUGCUGCUGGAGGAACCAGAACACCACACAGCCUUCCUGGAGGGCAGAAACAGUGAAGUUGCAAGGAAUUAUGGUGGGGGCCACAGAGGAACAAGGCAAGUUCAAGAUCAGCUGGAAGGUAGGAAAUCAGAGGUAGACAGAGAAAGGCGAGCUGAAGCCCAGUGGACACAGAAUAUGCUUAUUUCUGCCCAGCUGGGCUGCAAGAGAGGACGGAACCUGGAGACCACAGGGCACACGCUGGAAGGCAGAAUCUAAGAAGUGCGUCCGCCUUCUGUUACUCUGCUGAGCGACCCCGGCAAAGUCACAUGGCUAUCAAAUGCCUUCACCUCCAAAAGUCUAUGACACUCUGCAAGCAAGGUGCUAUGAUGGUGGUGCCCACGUGUUAUGUCUCCGUUUUUGGAAAGGCAACUAUGUCCAAUAAUGAGGUGAGGUCAGAACUUUAGGGGACAGAGUGUGAUUAAAACAGGCCACGGGA